GGGUCGGGGCCCGGCAACCGGGACCCGUGAACCCCGCCAGGUCCGAGAGGAAGCAACGGUAGUCGGUCAUCUCGGGGUGCUGGUCACCCCGGCCCUCU
rnacentral:SRP_RNA from 1 species